CCAAUAGCGUAUAUUAAAGUUGUUGCAGUUAAAAAGCUCGUAGUUGAAUUUCGGGAUUGACACAUCGGUCGUGCUCUAAGGGGUAUGAACUGGUGUAGUCAAUUUCUCACCUUCUGGAGAACCGCGAUGCCCUUUAUUGGGUGCCGUGGGAAACCAGGACCUUUACUUUGAAAAAAUUAGAGUGUUUAAAGCAGGCAUUUUUGCUUGAAUACAUUAGCAUGGAAUAAUAAAAUAGGACGGCAUGGUUCUAUUUUGUUGGUUUCUAGGACCACCGUAAUGAUUAAUAGGGAUAGUUGGGGGCAUUAGUAUUCAAUUGUCAGAGGUGAAAUUCUUGGAUUUAUUGAAGACUAACUACUGCGAAAGCAUUUGCCAAGGAUGUUUUCAUUAAUCAAGAACGAAAGUUAGGGGAUCGAAGACGAUCAGAUACCGUCGUAGUCUUAACCAUAAACUAUGCCGACUAGGAAUCAGACGAUGUUAAUUUUUUAAUGACUCGUUUGGCACCUUACG
rnacentral:rRNA from 1 species